rnacentral:rRNA from 1 species
GUCGAGAAUCUUUCACAAUGGGGGCAACCCUGAUGGAGCGACGCCGCGUGGAGGAUAAGGUCUUCGGAUUGUAAACUCCUGUCAUGCGUGAACAAGGUUGCUUGGUUAAUACCUGGGCAAAUUGAUGGUAACGCAAGAGGAAGAGACGGCUAACUCUGUGCCAGCAGCCGCGGUAAUACAGAGGUCUCAAGCGUUGUUCGGAAUCACUGGGCGUAAAGGGUGCGUAGGUGGCGUGGUAAGUCAGAUGUGAAAGCCCGGGGCUUAACCUCGGAACUGCAUCCGAUACUGCCAUGCUAGAGUACUGGAGAGGUGACUAGAAUUCUCGGUGUAGCAGUGAAAUGCGUAGAUAUCGAGAGGAAUACCAAAGGCGUCGGCAGGUCACUGGACAGUUACUGACACUGAGGCACGAAGGCCAGGGGAGCGAACGGGAUUAGAAACCCGUGUAGUCC